CAGUAGCCACGGUAAUACGAAGGGUGCAGGCGUUACUCGGAAUUACUGGGCGUAAAGCGUGCGUAGGUGGUGGUUUAAGUCUGCUGUGAAAGCCCUGGGCUCAACCUGGGAAUUGCAGUGGAUACUGGAUCACUAGAGUGUGGUAGAGGGAUGCGGAAUUUCUGGUGUAGCAGUGAAAUGCGUAGAGAUCAGAAGGAACAUCCGUGGCGAAGGCGGCAUCCUGGGCCAACACUGACACUGAGGCACGAAAGCGUGGGGAGCAAACAGGAUUAGAUACCCCUGUAGUCCCUGUCUCUUAUAC
rnacentral:rRNA from 1 species